AGAGGUUGAUGUCUCCCAUUAGUGUUCACUGUUUUUUGUUACUACAUCUUAAGACUGUUCGCUUAUCGCCUUCCUCUUUAGCCUUCAUCAAGUGUUUCCACGGUAGAUUCCGUUUCAAAAAAUAAUCAACGGUAGAUGAUUUUGCUAGUCUCUUGUCGUAGUGCUACCUUGCCAAUUUAGCUUUACUCUCCUGUAUGACGGAUCACGUGACAAAAGGCAAGAUAAUCCAGGAAAGGUACAGAACAAUUUGCUACAUUCCCAGAACAUACGGUGUUUGUUACUAUGGGCAAAAGAGAAGGAAACAUGAAGUUUCUGUUUUAUGAAAAAUUUCAAAUUGUAGGCAAGCAUAGCUCCAAGCUUAGUUUAAUUGGAGCUGGUAUUCAUAUGAUCAUAUUAAUGAGCUGUUCUCAUGUUACAUUCUUGCUCCUGCCUUUUGCGUUUGUUUUUUUAUCUGAACAGAAUGUUGUUUAUAGGUGGUGACAUUAUGGUACAGAGCACCAGAAAUUCUUCUGGGUGCAAGGCAGUAUUCUACCCCUGUUGAUGUGUGGUCGGUUGGUUGCAUUUUCGCCGAAAUGGUGAAUCAGAAACCCCUAUUUCCUGGUGAUUCUGAGAUUGAUGAACUCUUCAAGAUUUUCAGAAUUAUGGGCACUCCUAAUGAAGAAACCUGGCCAGGUGUUUCUUCGUUACCUGACUACAAAUCAGCUUUCCCCAAGUGGCCGUCCGUGGAUCUCGCAACUGUGGUUCCAACACUCGAACCUUUGGGACUUGAUCUUCUCUCUGUAAGUUUC